rnacentral:lncRNA from 1 species
CAUCAGGCAAGGCAAUAUAAUAUUCCAUUUUCUUCACGUGCUCAAAUUUGCUAAGCUAGUUCCUGAUUGUGGGAUACAUGGUUGGGCUCACAUAUUUUCCCACCGAUAGACAAGAGAUUACCAGAAAAGGGGUGAGGAAUCCAGAGAGAAUGUCUGCAUAAGAAGGAGGGUGGAGAUUUCUUACUGAACUAAAGGCUUCAAGAAUUGGCAAAUACCUGCUCAUCGGAUCUCACUCUGUUACCCAGGCUGGGGUGAAGUGGCACAAUCAUAGUUCACUGCAGCCUUGACCUCCUGGGCUCAAGUGAUCCUCCCGCCUCAGUCUCCCAAAGUGCUGGAAUUACAGGUGUGAGCCACUGCUCCUUGUGAUCUUACUCUUUCUACCAAUAAAAAUUCCAGAUUGUAUUAGUCUGUUCUCACACUGCUAUAAAGAACUACUUGAGAUUGGGUAACUUAUAAAGAAAAUAGGUUUAAUUGACUCAUAGUUCUGCAGGCUCAACAGGAAGUAUGAC